CACUAGCUGAGUAACGGGUAUCAGAUAGUCGGGGAACUCGACUAUAGCGUUCUCUCUUGUUUAAAUAUUUUAAGUUUUACAAUUGCUUUAAUUGCAUAAGAAGAGUAUACAAUUGUAUUGUAUCAUACAAACUUGUUACCCUUGUAAGAUUAAUCCACUUAAGAUUAUCUGAAUGCUAACAAGCUGACACCCCUAUUGGACGCGAGUUAUAUCCAUGUCCAAUUAAAACUCGAGCAGCCCGUGGAGCCAGCACCCAUAAGAUUCGAAUUAAGAAAACCUGUCGCAAUAUUUCUGUAUAGUAAGGAAUAAAUUACGAAAUUCCCAACCCAGCAGGGACACGCGACUUUCAACGAAAUUCGACAAAAGCCAAAACCGUAACAAAUCGCAUUUAAAUUUACCUGCCAGGGGAAUGCAGGAACAGAAAUAGAAGUAGAUCCGGGUACAGGACCAACCACCGAAAAGGAUGCGAUAAUUUAUAGCGUUUCAUUUGCUCGCUCGACCCCUCGCGUCCCUGUAAAUUCUAAUUUUAAUUUCGUAGUGUGCCAAGAGCAGUGCGAAUAGACUACAAUUUCCGUGGAGGAGGAGGGACACAAUAAAAAAUAUAUUUUUAUUUAUGUGGCUUAAUUUGCAAAGCGUGCAGAACAUACACAGCAACAGCUAGCCCCUUUACAGCUUCAGCAUUGUCGACUCAUUUCGAAUUCAUUUCCAUAUCCCAGAUAUCUUUCUGUAUGCGGCAAAAAACACACUUUAAAUGCAAUUGCCCCUUACAAGAAUUUUUCAAAUGUUUUACACACAAAAAUGUUCAUUCCCUGCUCUUUGUUGCGUACAAUUAGUUUGAAAACAACAAUAACCGUCGCUGAGUGAGUGGGUAACUGCAGUCACAUAAAACAAAUGCGAAUGACAAUUGGGAAAGGACAACGACGGCAGGACAAGAAGAGGAUGAGGUAGCGGCAAAUGUCCCUCCACCGAAGGUGACUUUUAAUGCCUUUUGUGUUGGUGUUGUUGCCAAUGCUGCUGUUGUGAUUGCUGCUGGCUUGUCGCAACAACAACGAACACGUUUAAACGGACGAAGGGGUAACGAAUGCAACCCCUUCUUCACAAACCGCCCCUUCUGCCAUACCUGCCAUUGAGGCCCCGAUUUGGUUUUGUUUUCGCUUUUUUUUUAAUAGUGGAAAUUAUUGCAUGCUACAGCGCAGCCGGGGAAAAAGUAAAAUUAACGUGCUGGUAAAUUGUGCUCGGCACUCGCAUCUUCAAGUGCCGCUCUUUCAAGCGGAAACCUCGUGUGCUAGUAGCAAAAGUUUCACCUACCGAAUGGUGCUUUUUAAUUUGCACAUGUAGCGACUGUCGUGAGUGAUUAGAAAUGAGUUAUUCCAAAGCCCUUUCCCAUUUGCUGUACUAUUCACAGUUAAAAUUGCCACCUAGUGAUCCCAUUUCCGUAGCUACCUCGCACUGAUUGUUUCGCUUCAGCAACCGUGCGCUUUGCACCACCCGCAGCCAAUUCCCCUGUACAGCACUAUAACAAUUGAAAGCUGCUGUAAUAACAGAACUUUUCUAAUCAACCUGCUGGACAUACAAGGCCCUUCACGUCCGCUUACUUCCACCACUGCUCAGCGAGUCAGCCAGAUGAUGCCAUGUAAGUUUAUUAAAAUUAUGUCCUGCUGAUAUUUGCAGACACUCGUCCUCGUUAGUAGUACGGUGUACUGAACGGAUUGGAUAGUACCGGAACCAAGUGAAAUAAGCGAAUGUCCGAGAUGACAAUGGAGCCGGAGAGCAUUAAAGACUCACAAAGUGGAAAUGCAGAAGCUGAAGAAACCAUUCGAUUGGGCGGGCAGUGGAUCAAUGGCGUCAAGCUGACAAAUCAAGCAAACUGGGGGUGGUUUCGUACCCCGUGCUCUCCGCUCAAAUGAAAAUGCAUUUAUUUAUAAACCAAAUGACAAUAGUCCCAAGUGGCAGGCCAGGCAGGAGCAACAGUAUGGAUCUGUAUCAGUAUCCGCAUCUCCAGUGUAUCGCUAGCCAUCUCCCCCGCAUCGCACCUCGUACAUGGCACAAAUGCAAAACUGCAUUUGCGUUCUGCUGUCUAACUAGUUACCUAUUGGCAGGACACACACAACCGCCCAGGACAGACUCUCCAGUCUUGUAGCUUUGGCAAUUUUAUUGACAACCCAACAGUCGGACGGGUGGACUCCACCCAACCAACCCCACAAAACCAACUUGAAUCCAACCCAACCCUUUUUGCAACGCUGCUCCACUGGUGCUGAUGCUAAAGUUGAUGCUGAUGCUGAUGCCGACUGGAGGGGUCGGCUGCAUUUUGUGACAAUGUUUAUUUAGAUUUUGCUGCUGCCAAUUGCUGACAUUGCAAUUUCUAUUCCUGCCAGGGACAAACACGCACACUCGUAGAUAAACACACUCCCAGAUGUGCUGCGUGUGCAAAGCGGAGCGUUGCAUUUCAUUAUACACUGGCAAAAAAGUUGUGUGCGCCUCGUCCUUGAUUAGCGCUUGGGACCCACAACUCAGUUUGUCUGAAUAUUUUUCCCGACAGUAGAGUAUCCGAUAGGAAUCCAUAUUUUAUGUGGAGCACAUUUGUUCCACGGGCUUUCCAGCGCCUUUGCAAUUCCUAGUGCUUCGCUCUGUGCCAUUCCUCCCCAACGCUGUUUGUUGUUGCGGUCGUGUGUGUUGUACUUUUUGGCACUUUAAUUUCAAAUUGUCAAUUGGAUUUAAGUACAUUCGACAACAAAAACGCCAGCCAAGUAUGUUUGGGCUCAAUCGGGCUGUCUGACAGAGCAGAGAUUGCCUUCAUCGCUCCCCCAACGCAAAUUUUGGAAAUUGUUUGCCCAUUAUAAGGCCGGGUAUCCGAGACCACAGGACACACUUGCAGCUUGAGGUGGCAUCGCUUUACGGCCGGUCUUUUCUUAGCCAUAAAAUGUAAUUUUAAAAUGUGUCAAAUGUGUUUAAAAUGUGGCAAAAUUUGAUUACGCUCUUCUCUGGGGCAAAUCAAUCUGAUCGCAAGGCGGCUGUAAGACUUUGGCAAUGACUCCUCAGAAACGGAAUAGAAAUGAUAGCCAAAUUAAGUUAAUCAUAUUUCGCCACUGCAUUGCUGGCGUACAAGUGCUUGUAAACCAAUAGCCAAUCAGCGGAUGCGGCGUCAUAAUUUUGAAGUUUUGAGUAUAGUUUUUCCAUCUGCGGGGGCGGUCCGAGCCUAAAAGGGAGUUUCGAUUGCUGGUGCUAUGGAGCCCAUUUUGACUGUGCCACAGUUGAAUUUGUUGCAAUUACUCGCACCGAAUGAUUACAGUUCCCAUUCAUUCAUUUGCAGCCUGCAUCCCGAGGAUAAUCGGCGGCUGUUGUAUUUACUGGCAAUUACUGUCAAUUAGCGUGGGUUUUUGUUAUUGCGCCAAAUAUUUACGCAGUGGGUGAGUACUCCACAAGGCGGACUUGCUCCUGCUCACUGGGUUUCACUUCGAUUCACGGCACAUCUUCAGUCCCCGAACACACCUGCACCCAGUUAUUCCAGCUAUACCAUGAUCUGUGCCCAAAAUUAACAUACCCCCGAUUCCGUCCUGGUCAAGUGCACUCAUUAUAAAUGCCAGCAGCAUGCUCGGCAGCUGACGCAGGAGCUGGAAGGUUACGAAAUCGCAUUUUAGGGGUUUGGCUCCAUGGAAGCCCUUAGAAAUGGGCAAAAUAUGCGCACUAGGACAGGCAUUCUCCUUGCUUUCAACCUCGCCACUUCACCAUUCACAAUUUGGAAACUUGCAAAAAGGCGUUGGCUGGGACAGGCGUUGGCGAAGGAUAUUUUGCAAACAAAUAAUAAAAAUCCAAUUUUACAUUUAAUCACGCGCUCAGUCAAACAAAAAAGAGGGAACUGAAAAGGGCAGAAAUAAACUUUUGACAACGGCUGCCGUGUUGUCGCCCGAAGGACGACGCUCGAGCACUAACCCUCCAAGCGACAGCAGUCGGUUGGCGGGCUCAAGGAUCAGGAGCUCGGUGCUCAAGGUGACUCAAGUAUUUUGCUUAAUUUAUUGCAUUUUCUACGCUAAAAUGCGCAAAAACUUUGGCCCAAGCCCCUGAAAAUUAGGCUGCUCGACUCGGCAGUUCUGAAUGCCGACUCCUGUAUCCUGCAUCCCGUGCGACCUGCGUCAUUAUAAAUUUAAAAAGCGUGUUAAAAGGGGUGCAUUCCCAACCCGCUGCCACAAAGAGCUUAACCCUCCCCGCAGCAGCUCACAAUAAAUUUCAUUUUUCAUCAUUGCAAUUUCUGCGCGUAAUUUUUCGUACAUGUCGCACAUAAUUCAUUCCCAGGACUGCGAUGUCGCCUGCGACAUAUGGAUUAACUGCCGUGAAAUGCGCUCCUUCGUGCACACCCCAUACCCCUGAAGGACCUCUUCCUCACGCGCAGAGCGCUGAAAAAUUAAUCCCGAGGUGUUGUGCGAUUCGCAGCCCCCGGCUGGUUUCACAGUUUCCUUGCGGCUCGGAUUCUAUGGGAACUCGUCACUUGUUUUGCAUUAUCUGCAGAUCCCACUUCCCGAGUGGGCCAACUCAUUAGAGCAGCUAAGACCUUAAUGUGUAGUGCGUUUUCUUGGACGGGGAAAUAUCAGGGCGCUCAGCACACCCUGCACCUUCAUGGCGACCAUGCAGAUGUCAUCACAGUCUGUGAUCUGACUGAGUGACAUCACAGAAAGAAACUAUGACGCAUUUGAUAAUGACAAUGAUUGCGUCCCAGUUCCACAUUAGGUCCUGUCUUCAGUUGCCUCUCAUUUGGAUGUUUAACUGCGUUGGUGGACCAGCCAAGCGAGAAGUCGCAGUCGGAGAAAUCAUGUGUGAUGACUUCGAAUGGAGAUGGACAGACCGAGCUGAGCGCAGGACCAAAGGGAAGAGCUGCAUCAGGAGCCAAAGCCAAACGAGACAUGGAUGUUACUUUUUACUGUCAGUCCCAGUCGUACUCGUAGUCGGAGUUGGAAUAGAGGUAGCGAUUCCCCCACCUCCCUUUUCCAGUGACAGUUGUACAAGAAAUACAAAUUUGCAAAAUAAGCACAGGGCCAGACCAGGCCAUUUUGAGAUAAAUGACGACAUGCAAAAGGAAGUGUCAACUGAUUGCGCUGAGCUAGGCAGUCGUAAAAAACAGGACGACGACAACGAAUCGUCCUCGUCUCGAAUCCUGCGCGUGACGUAUUCGCCUUGUUGUGCGUGUGAUGAACCGUUCUGAUCUGGGGGAAACGGGGCCCUGGCAAUAAAACACAAUAAAAAGAAAUUAUGAAUAAAUAAUGUGCAAAGUAGCAAUAGCUCAGAACACAAAAAAUUGAAUGCAAAGCGGCGUCAUCUGUUUGUGAUUUAUAUAGUUUUUAAUAUUUGACUGGGAGACAUCCGCUGCGUCAUAGCCACCCGAAGACAGACAGAUAGACAGCCUGGCGACCCUGCUUUUUCCUACAUUUUCCGAGAACCCCCACAAUUUGAUAUUCAUGCGACGAAAAUCAGCCAAACAAAAUCAGCCACCAUAGGCGAGCAUUUGUUCGCCAAUUUCAGAUGUGGUUCAACUCAGCCCUGCUCUAAAAUGCUCAGUCCCCGCCUUGAAAGGAUUCGCAGGCCAGCCAAAAUUUCUCAUUAGCAGCUGCUCAGUGACAAGAGAAGAAAAGAAGACCGCUUGAAAGUCGCUCUAAUGAAAUGUUUGCUCGCCACUCGUGUCACUCGCGCAUCCGUUUGUCCAAGCAGCAAGGAGGAAAUGGGUGGCAGCCGGAAGUGGCGUCGAAUGGAGCGGAUUCCUGCUUCCGGCCGAAAUUUGCGACUUGAUUAGCCUUAAUUAAAUUCCACCUGGUUGCUGCCAUUGUCAAUAGAUUAAGCCUUAUAAGCUUCUAUUCAGAAUCGACUCAUAAUUUAUUAUACUGGGUGUGGGUCCAUUUUAGGAAACUGGUGCUAAACUAACUUUAUUAGUCAUUCGGAUCCAUUCUGGCUAUCAACCUCCUGGACAAUAGUGAAACCACCAGGCGCCUCCAGAGGAAACACCCGCUUGAUCUCCCCCACUUAUAACCCACUACAAUGAACCCCCGACCUAUCUACAACUUUGUAAUCCCUUAAGUUAAUGCCCCCCCCACCCAAACAUUUAAUUAUUGUCCACAUGGACAGAUUUUAAAUUAAUAAAUGUACGAUACAAAAAAAAAAAAAAAAAAAAAAAAUUCGGAAUCACAUACAGUACCUAAAGAAUUCGAUUUAAGGCUAACUGCAUAUUGAAAAUCCGCAAACGGCUUCAAAGAGCAAGCACAUCCCAGCUUCCCGUUUCUUCAGGACCCAAACAUAAGUUCUGUUUACAUUUCUAUGGACAAAAUGCACAGCGGGGCUCUCUUUUCUGGUUCUGUGUAGGAUCUAUCACACAUUUACAGUGGUUCAUCAUGUAGCUCACUGAGCCAACGGCAGUACGACACUCCUUGAACACUAUUUAAUUGGUUGCGCCGAGUAAAGUUCUACGCUACGCAGACGACGACACAAUCCAUCUGAUUCUAUUUGAAGUGGUGCCCUUCGCUAGUUGAGGAGGAUUCCUGGAAGAGAGUCCAGAGGUUUCUUAAGAAUCACGCGCUGCUUGGUAUGAAUCAAACAGUCCAUGGAAUCGACGAAUAUGAUGCAGAAAAAUAUUUCGUUUGAUAUAGCUUUAUUAUUUUAGUUGUGAAUAUUUUCUGUCGUUGCUUAAACUGAAUAAAAGAAGUGCCUUUGAGUAAACUCAACACAUGCCACCUAGUUCGCAGCUGUUUCUUCUUGAAGGAUAAAAGCGCUAACCCAAAAAUUAUGAUCUCGAAAUUAAAUUUUCCGUCUGGUGUUGCCUUUAUGGUUUAUGAAGUGUUGCAGCAAUAUCCACAGAUACAACCGAAAUAAAAGCGAAGAUUCAGGACACACAACGGCGAAGGAUGCUGCAUCAGCACAAUGGAAUCUGGGAGAGAGUGGAACUCAAAUAGAGGAGGAGUUUCCCAGGGUUGGCCACUUGCAAAACAACAUUCAAAAGGAUUUUCGUCGAUUUUCGAGUGCUAUAUCUGUGCUUUUGCCAUGUGUGUGCCGAAACUUUUCCGGAGAGGGAGGACUUUCCUUCCUCCUCCGGCGCUUUUCUCGCCCUGCAUAAACACUGGUUGCCCAUCUCCCGCUCCCUUUAGUGGCUCGUCUGUGUUUUUUUGCCAGGCUACUUGCGACUUUUUCUCCAUUUUCUGCUGGCCAUUUGGCACUUCUGCUAUUUUGUAUUUUCCGCGGUGCCCAGUACCCCUAGUGGGCCCCCUUUGCCCGGUUCUAGUGGUUGGCAGUGGCUGUGUUGUAGUGCUCAGCGUCAUUUAUUGUUUCUGGCGUCAGUUGUUGCACUUUUUUCACUUGCUUUUCACUUCACAUCGCCAUUUCUACUUUCUCUCCGGCUGGUUCACAUCGCGCGUUCUCAGCGUUUUUAACAGUUUAUUUGGCCAAGGCAUAAAACUAACCAGCUUCGAGUCUACGAGUCCUGGCUCUGGGAAAACAUUCAGAGGAGGAAUCUGGUGAGCAGCAAUCUAUUGAUAAAGAGAUUGAAAGGUAAGGCGAAAUGUUAAAACGCCGUUUGACAAAUCCUCGCAGCCAUGAAUAAAGCAACUGACAAAUCAAAUUCCCAUCAAAGGUCCCGUUUACACAAAUCUUUUAAGGGCUAAAACAACACAGACGGAGAGCAACAAUAAAUCCGCCCAAAAUCCUCAAAGAAUGGCACAAGAAUAGUGGCCAGGCAGAGGAGAAACAAAUUGGCCAUAAAGAUGGAGCAGAAAGGAACCCAAAGAGUCAAACUGCAAGCGCAGCAAAGCAAAUGCCAAAGAAUCGUUGCACAAUUAACACAGGGAGAGAUGGGGAUGGACAAAAGGACUAAAAAGGAAGUUCGCUUGCGCCCGCGUGUAUGCUUGAUUUUAUGAGAUUUUGAUAUGCAGCCGAAAUACGAAGGGGGAAAGGAAAACGCUAGGAGCCGCAGGCGGGCAAAAAGUAUGCUGGGAAACUCGUUUUGGACAGGACGAAACCACAGCCGCGGAAAGUAUGCAACGAUAAUCUGUUCCUCUCACGCGUGCUCUUUGCUAUCUGCACCUGAACUGAACCACCCCGCCCCGCUUUUUUGCCCAAGGAAGGCAAUUUUUCACUCAGCAUAAUUUUCGCCGUUUUCGGCAUUCAUCUUUGACCCAUCUGCACAAGAGCCACGUCCACGUCCGCAUCCACGUCCCCAUCCCACUUUGUUGGCUGCUCUGCGGCAAAUAUUUUAUAUGCGUUGCAUUGCCCAGUAAAUCCUUGGACCGCCUUUGGCCAGUUUUAUUGCCAUUGCAGAUGAUGGACAUUUGGCGUUUGUCGGCUCCCUUUCACGUCGCCCACUUUCCAUUCGGCCGUUUUAUGCGCCGCCUGACGAACUGAUUGGAAGUCAGCGAAUUCUUCGCCUCUGCGCCAUUCCCAAUUUUCGAUUUUUCAUCGUCCUUUUUUUUCUGUCCAUUUUUUCGGUGUCCAGUCAACGAGCACUUCACUAACAGCUUUUAGUGUCCACACAAUCGAAGAGUGGAAUGGGGGAAAA